rnacentral:rRNA from 1 species
GACAGAGGUGCCAAGCGUUAGGCGGAAUCACUGGGCUUAAAGCGUGUGUAGGCGGAUCGUUAAGUACCUUGUGAAAUCCCACGGCUCAACCGUGGAACUGCUGGGUAUACUGGCGAUCUUGAGCCACCUAGGGGCGAGCGGAACAAGCGGUGGAGCGGUGAAAUGCGUAGAUAUCGCUUGGAACGCCAAUGGUGAAAACAGACAGCUGGGAGUGUGCUGACGCUGAGACACGAAAGCCAGGGGAGCGAACGGG